rnacentral:rRNA from 1 species
UGCCAGCAGCCGCGGUAAUACGGAGGGUGCAAGCGUUGCUCGGAAUCAUUGGGCGUAAAGCGCGUGUAGGCGGCACGCUAAGUCGAGUGUGAAAGCCCUGGGGCUCAACCCCGGAACUGCCUCUAAUACUGCUAGUCUUGAGUUCGAGAGAGGUGAGUGGAAUUCCGAGUGUAGAGGUGAAAUUCGUAGAUAUUCGGAGGAACACCAGUGGCGAAGGCGGCUCACUGGCUCGAUACUGACGCUGAGGUGCGAAAGCGUGGGGAGCAAACAGGAUUAGAUA